rfam:Ensifer adhaerens OV14 chromosome 1 sequence.
UGCGGUCUGCGCUUCCCGACAGGAUCCACAAUCCCCGGGGCCUUACUCGAUCUCAAGGGAGCUGUCCCUGGCCGGGCUUGUGGGCUCGGACAUAUGGCGCCCACCUACUUUGUAGGCACCCGGGAUCGUAAAAUAUCCAUCGGUUGGGUGGAUCGCAC